rnacentral:rRNA from 1 species
AUUGAACGCUGGCGGCAGGCCUAACACAUGCAAGUCGAGCGGUAGCACAGAGAGCUUGCUCUCGGGUGACGAGCGGCGGACGGGUGAGUAAUGUCUGGGAAACUGCCUGAUGGAGGGGGAUAACUACUGGAAACGGUAGCUAAUACCGCAUAAUGUCGCAAGACCAAAGUGGGGGACCUUCGGGCCUCAUGCCAUCAGAUGUGCCCAGAUGGGAUUAGCUAGUAGGUGGGGUAACGGCUCACCUAGGCGACGAUCCCUAGCUGGUCUGAGAGGAUGACCAGCCACACUGGAACUGAGACACGGUCCAGACUCCUACGGGAGGCAGCAGUGGGGAAUAUUGCACAAUGGGCGCAAGCCUGAUGCAGCCAUGCCGCGUGUGUGAAGAAGGCCUUCGGGUUGUAAAGCACUUUCAGCGGGGAGGAAGGCGGUAAGGUUAAUAACCUUGUCGAUUGACGUUACCCGCAGAAGAAGCACCGGCUAACUCCGUGCCAGCAGCCGCGGUAAUACGGAGGGUGCAAGCGUUAAUCGGAAUUACUGGGCGUAAAGCGCACGCAGGCGGUCUGUCAAGUCGGAUGUGAAAUCCCCGGGCUCAACCUGGGAACUGCAUUCGAAACUGGCAGGCUAGAGUCUUGUAGAGGGGGGUAGAAUUCCAGGUGUAGCGGUGAAAUGCGUAGAGAUCUGGAGGGAUACCGGUGGCGAAGGCGGCCCCCUGGACAAAGACUGACGCUCAGGUGCGAAAGCGUGGGGAGCAAACAGGAUUAGAUACCCUGGUAGUCCACGCCGUAAACGAUGUCGAUUUGGAGGUUGUGCCCUUGAGGCGUGGCUUCCGGAGCUAACGCGUUAAAUCGACCGCCUGGGGAGUACGGCCGCAAGGUUAAAACUCAAAUGAAUUGACGGGGGCCCGCACAAGCGGUGGAGCAUGUGGUUUAAUUCGAUGCAACGCGAAGAACCUUACCUGGUCUUGACAUCCACAGAACUUUCCAGAGAUGGAUUGGUGCCUUCGGGAACUGUGAGACAGGUGCUGCAUGGCUGUCGUCAGCUCGUGUUGUGAAAUGUUGGGUUAAGUCCCGCAACGAGCGCAACCCUUAUCCUUUGUUGCCAGCGGUUAGGCCGGGAACUCAAAGGAGACUGCCAGUGAUAAACUGGAGGAAGGUGGGGAUGACGUCAAGUCAUCAUGGCCCUUACGACCAGGGCUACACACGUGCUACAAUGGCAUAUACAAAGAGAAGCGACCUCGCGAGAGCAAGCGGACCUCAUAAAGUAUGUCGUAGUCCGGAUUGGAGUCUGCAACUCGACUCCAUGAAGUCGGAAUCGCUAGUAAUCGUAGAUCAGAAUGCUACGGUGAAUACGUUCCCGGGCCUUGUACACACCGCCCGUCACACCAUGGGAGUGGGUUGCAAAAGAAGUAGGUAGCUUAACCUUCGGGAGGGCGCUUACCACUUUGUGAUUCAUGACUGGGGUGA